CUCGCGGCGCUCUGCGUCCACCGCUGAUAUCGCCGAGGGCACCUGAGGUCGCGGGGUCUCCCCAAGCCAGACGCCCCACACCCACGGGCCGGCCUGCUGACGCUCCCGCUCCAAUUUACAUUUUUAGUCACCCGCCUCUUCUCUGGUUUGGGGAAUGUAGGCUAAAAAAAGGCGGCUGCGAGGCCCAGGUUGCCAAUUUUGGAGCUUUGCUACAGUCAGGCCGCCCCUGGAGGAGCGUGUUCGGUGAAGGUGGGAGUUGCAGCGCUCCUAUCCCCGCGCCUUUUUUGGGCAUCCCUUGGAACAGAGCUCCCAUAUUUCACUGGAUAUCAUCCAGUUCCAGCUGGAGGAGGCCUGCGCUGGAGUUGACGCCUCCGAUCCGCCUCCACCUGUUACAGAUGUCCCUACCCGGAGACCUUUCUGUUACUGGAACCUGGAGGCGAGGACGGGAGAAGCAGGAUGCCUUGCAGCGGAACUGAGAAGUGCAUAAUCUUUCAGCCCAAGACCUCCAACAGAAAAUGCAAGAAGGGAAAUUGUUUUCCACUUAGCUAUUUUUAAAGUGCUGAUACCUGAGCCUGGGCAUCAGUUUGGAAGGAUGGUUGCAACACUUCUCAAACCUGAAACAUUUAGCUUUUACCCGUGCUUCUGAACCCUCAGUCCUUCUCAGGACACUGUAUAAAAUGGCAUUCAGACCUCUCGGUCCUAAAACGUGCGGUAUAAAGAAAGGGCCUCUGGAGUGGGGCGGCCUGGGUUUGAAUUGUGCCCUCACCCCUUCCUAAAUGUGCGACCUUGAUUACAUCGUCUAACUCUUUUAAGCCGUAGUCUUCCACGCUGGCAUACGGAAAAUGACAGAAUCGCUGUGAUGACUGAAUGGGUAAAGUGAGAUGCCCUAAGACGUUGUUGGUGUGUCAUUAACUGUUAAUAUUAUUUUUAUCUUUCUGAAUUCUGAACCUGCACAAUGGCCCCCGUCCUUUCAAUCCCAAAGACGCCCUUUGAUGCCUAACAGCCCGCCUGAAAUUCCCUAGUCUAAGAAGAAAUCCUCUGAAGAACUGCACUAAGCAGUUAAAUCCAUGCCAAUUUAGCUGUCAAGCAAAGCAGAGAUUAAGGAAUUUGCCUGAGGUCACACAGGAGCCAACGCUGGGGUCAGUAUUUGAAGCCUGACUCUUCACAGAGCCUCAAGGACUACCACAUACCCAUAUUACAGGGUGUUGUGGAGACCGCGCCCACCACGCUCUGCUGUUGCUGCUGAAAUUUGAAGGAUUCAAGGUCUGCACUUUGAAUUUUGACCACCAGGCAUUUCCGGGCUUCACAAAUUAUGUUGCUCCUUCCCCACAGAUGUCAAGGAUCAAAAGUUAGGCUCAUUUCCUUCCUGCUCCUUUUACAUCUGGCGGUUUUCUUUGACUGUGUGCACCUUUUCAUUAGUCAACCAUUCAAUAAAUGCCCAUACAGUUUU